GACGAACGCUGGCGGCGUGCUUAACACAUGCAAGUCGAACGGAAAGGCCCUGCUUUUGUGGGGUGCUCGAGUGGCGAACGGGUGAGUAGCACGUGAGUAACCUGCCCUUGACUUUGGGAUAACUUCAGGAAACUGGGGCUAAUACCGGAUAGGAGCUCCUGCUGCAUGGUGGGGGUUGGAAAGUUUCGGCGGUUGGGGAUGGACUCGCGGCUUAUCAGCUUGUUGGUGGGGUAGUGGCUUACCAAGGCUUUGACGGGUAGCCGGCCUGAGAGGGUGACCGGCCACAUUGGGACUGGGAUACGGCCCAGACUCCUACGGGAGGCAGCAGUGGGGAAUAUUGCACAAUGGGCGGAAGCCUGAUGCAGCAACGCCGCGUGCGGGAUGACGGCCUUCGGGUUGUAAACCGCUUUCGCCUGUGACGAAGCGUGAGUGACGGUAAUGGGUAAAGAAGCACCGGCUAACUACGUG
rnacentral:rRNA from 1 species